CCUACGGGUAGCAGCAGUGAGGAAUAUUGGUCAAUGGACGAGAGUCUGAACCAGCCAAGUAGCGUGAAGGAUGACUGCCCUAUGGGUUGUAAACUUCUUUUAUAUGGGAAUAAAACGUUCCACGUGUGGGAUUUUGUAUGUACCAUAUGAAUAAGGAUCGGCUAACUCCGUGCCAGCAGCCGCGGUAAUACGGAGGAUCCGAGCGUUAUCCGGAUUUAUUGGGUUUAAAGGGAGCGUAGGUGGAUUGUUAAGUCAGUUGUGAAAGUUUGCGGCUCAACCGUAAAAUUGCAGUUGAAACUGGCAGUCUUGAGUACAGUAGAGGUGGGCGGAAUUCGUGGUGUAGCGGUGAAAUGCUUAGAUAUCACGAAGAACUCCGAUUGCGAAGGCAGUUCACUGGACUGCAACUGACACUGAGGCUCGAAAGUGUGGGUAUCAAACAGGAUUAGAUACCCUUGUAGUC
rnacentral:rRNA from 1 species